UACAGAGGUCUCAAGCGUUGUUCGGAUUCAUUGGGCGUAAAGGGCGCGUAGGCGGCAUGGCAAGUGGAAGGUGAAAUCCCUCGGCUUAACCGAGGAACUGCCCUCCAAACUGCUUUGCUUGAGGCCGGGAGAGGUGAGUGGAAUUCCCAGUGUAGCGGUGAAAUGCGUAGAUAUUGGGAGGAACACCAGUGGCGAAGGCGGCUCACUGGACCGGUUCUGACGCUGAUGCGCGAAAGCGUGGGGAGCAAACGGG
rnacentral:rRNA from 1 species